CCUAGGGCUCUUUCCUGGACUGCGGCUGCAGCCUUCUCUUCCCGGAGGGCUCAGAGUUCGUCCCCUUUUCGCGAUUGGGAACGUGGACACGCCGGAGCCUGGAUGCAGAAGGGCGCGCGGGAACAGGGAGCUGGUGCGCGAGCCGCAGCCCAGCGUCCAGGCCGCCCCACUCUCUGCUGAUCCAAAGGACUAGGGAAACCCUGCGCGCCGACGGUGGCCUGGACGUUGGCGCGGGCCCUGGCGCUAAAAAACGGAUCCCAUUUCCAGAAAGGCGGGCCGGGUAUCCCGCUCCUGCCUCCUGGAGAAUUAGCUCGGCGGAGGUCGACCAGCCGGGUAGGGAGGGAGGGAUGGAGGGACAGGCCUAGGGUCGACCAGCCGGAUAGGGAGUAGCUUCUGGGAGCUCCCUUGCCUACGGAGGGCCGGUGAGGCUGCCCUCAGAGCGCCGCCAGCUGCAGCUGAGCCAGAAGCGUCCCCACUGGCUUACCCGAUAGUGGGAUUUUACACGGUGUCGGCUAAGGGUGGCUUUGUGAGAAGACCAUUUCAGAAGAAGAAACGGGGCUCUGGCUGGUGGGGUAGAAACCCCUAUGGAAUGAAAAGUACUCCCAGUCUCUUUGAGGAAGAUUGCAAAGUAAGUUGGGGUGAGGAAGAGUGUGACUUCCCUACCCAGAGUCUGGUUGAGCACGGAUCCCGCCGAGGAGAGAAGGGUCCCGGCCGGGGGGAAGGUCCCUCUUUCUGGGACAAAGCGAUCCUUAAUUGUGGCCACCUUCCAAAGUCCGGGGCGAAUUCGCUACGCGCGUCUGCCCGGGCGGCGCUUGGUGGGUAGUCCCGCUUCCACCAAAACUCUGUGUUUCCUUUCUCUCAAAAUAAAACUCAACAAGCCAUAAAGCUUCCGACGCCGGUGGAGAAGGCGCCGCGGAUUUAUGGCCCCUGAAUUCCCUACUCUCUAAUUAUCCUUGUUUUUACUUGACUUAUGGGUAGUGACCA
rnacentral:lncRNA from 1 species